CAGUCGCCACGGGAAUACAGAGGGUGCAAGCGUUAAUCGGAAUUACUGGGCGUAAAGCGCGCGUAGGUGGUUUGUUAAGUUGGAUGUGAAAGCCCCGGGCUCAACCUGGGAACUGCAUCCAAAACUGGCAAGCUAGAGUACGGUAGAGGGUGGUGGAAUUUCCUGUGUAGCGGUGAAAUGCGUAGAUAUAGGAAGGAACACCAGUGGCGAAGGCGACCACCUGGACUGAUACUGACACUGAGGUGCGAAAGCGUGGGGAGCAAACAGGAUUAGAUACCCGGGUAGUCCCUGUCUCUUAUAA
rnacentral:rRNA from 1 species